UACGGGGGGUGCAAACGUUGCUCGGAAUUAUUGGGCGUAAAGCGCACGUAGGCGGUCCUCUAAGUCGGGUGUGAAAGCCCGGGGCUUAACCCCGGAAGUGCACUCGAAACUGGAGGGCUUGAGUAUGGAAGAGGGUCUCGGAAUUCCCGGUGUAGAGGUGAAAUUCGUAGAUAUCGGGAGGAACACCAGUGGCGAAGGCGGAGACCUGGGCCAAUACUGACGCUCAUGCACGAAAGCGUGGGGAGCAAACAGG
rnacentral:rRNA from 1 species